rnacentral:tRNA from 1 species
GGCCUCGUAGCUCAGUUGAAUAGAGCACAAGUUUCCGGAGCUUGGUGUCGCGGGUUUGAGUCCCGCCGAGGUCACCA